GACGAACGCGGCGGGCGUGCCUAAUACAUGCAAGUAGAACGCUGAAGGAGGAGCUUAUUUCUCCGGGAUGAGUUGCGAACGGGUGAGUAACGCGUAGGUAACCUGCAUGGUAGCGGGGGAUAACUAUUGGAAACGAUAGCUAAUACCGCAUAACAGUAGAUAUUGCAUGAUAUCUGCUUGAAAGGUGCAAUUGCAUCACUACCAGAUGGACCUGCGUUGUAUUAGCUAGUUGGUGAGGUAACGGCUCACCAAGGCGACGAUACAUAGCCGACCUGAGAGGGUGAUCGGCCACACUGGGACUGAGACACGGCCCAGACUCCUACGGGAGGCAGCAGUAGGGAAUCUUCGGCAAUGGACGGAAGUCUGACCGAGCAACGCCGCGUGAGUGAAGAAGGUUUUCGGAUCGUAAAGCUCUGUUGUAAGAGAAGAACGAGUGUGAGAGUGGAAAGUUCACACUGUGACGGUAUCUUACCAGAAAGGGACGGCUCACUACGUGCCAGCAGCCGCGGUAAUACGUAGGUCCCGAGCGUUGUCCGGAUUUAUUGGGCGUAAAGCGAGCGCAGGCGGUUAGAUAAGUCUGAAGUUAAAGGCUGUGGCUUAACCAUAGUACGCUUUGGAAACUGUUUAACUUGAGUGCAAGAGGGGAGAGUGGAAUUCCAUGUGUAGCGGUGAAAUGCGUAGAUAUAUGGAGGAACACCGGUGGCGAAAGCGGCUCUCUGGCUUGUAACUGACGCUGAGGCUCGAAAGCGUGGGGAGCAAACAGG
rnacentral:rRNA from 1 species